rnacentral:lncRNA from 10 species
CGUGACUGAGAGCCUAGGCGCCAAGGGGAGGAGAGGGUAAUCGCCAAGGCUUCCCAGGGGAGAAAUCGAGGGGUUAAGGGAACCAGAUCGAAGAGGGCCAAGGCCCAGCAGGGUGCCUGAAGAAGCCGAUUCUCCUGCCCAGGAUCCCUGAGGUUCGAAGGAUGCUUCAUGCAGGGUGGCCUUGUCUCUCACCCGGCGUGCAGGAUCCAGACCUAGGCAGGCCGAGGACACCGGUGACCAACGGCCGGGCCGGUCCAGCCCGGGUCCUGCCCUAGUCCCGAAGUUUCCUGGGAUUGGCUGCCGGCCCCGCGGCCCCCCUCCCCGCCCCGCCCCGCCCCGCCCCGCCCCGUCCCGUCCCGCCCGGAGUCUUCCCUACGCCCAAAGCGCAGGUAUGUUACUAGUCUUGAGCGGGAGGAAAUUACCCAGCCCGGAGCACCUGGCCUGUUGGACGAGUGGGUUCCUGGUGCCUGAAUCCGGCAGUCCGCCCUGCGGUGCCCCGCCCCGCCCCGCCCCAGCCCGGGAUCUUCCCGGUCCUCGUGCGUCCCCGCUCCAGUCAGUUCCCGCCGCGCGCCUUCUUCUUGGUCUUCUGGCCAGGCGGGGAUCGUCGGCCAGUUUGUCCCGAGGAGUUGCGCUGGCAGACGCGCCGCUACUUUGUAGCGGGUUUCGGGCGGGUAGCGCGCGCGGCGGCAGGAACCCAACCCCGGCAGACCCUGGGCUCCAAGAAUUCGUCUUCUACGUCUGCGGAGGUGCGGCAGCCUCAGUUCCAAGCGCAGGUAUGUUCCUAGCCUUGAGCGGAGGAAAUUACCCAGCCCCGAGCACCUGGCCAGUGGGACCGGGGGGUUCCUGGUGUCUGAAUCCGGCUCGCUUAACAGGAAGGCAAUAGAGGCUGUGUUCCAAACCUUUCCCUCACGGUCGUCUACUGCCUACUGACCAUCCUGGUGUCUUUCCCUGUAUGGCUGGCAUGGUUCCCGUCUUUAGGUCUUGUAAGUAUAAUGCUUUAUUUUUUCUUGAGCCUCUCCUAUGUCUGCCCUUUGUGAGCACACUAGAUAAAGAAGUCCAUUUGGUCCCAUGUCUAAUCCAUAGCAUAAUUGCUUGGCCCUCUUUGGUAGCCAUGUCUUUUUUAGGUUGUGGGGCAUUUGCCCGACAAUAAACAUGAGUAAGAGAUAAGGGUAGGGUCGCAAGCUGGGUGGAGGAGAGACAGGGAGUCCAUUUUUGUCUGCCCAUUUAGCAGUUUUCUGAGUCCUACCAUUCCAUAAAGAUACUCUAUCAGUUUCCUGAGUGUUGCGCAAUGAAUAAUAACAAUUUAUAUAGGAAAAUAAAUAGCUAUAAUCGGAUAGCAAUUAUAUGCCCAUUGGUGAUGGGAGUAUCUGCUGAGGUCGAGAAUCUGUGGGGAGUAGGGCGCAGUGGCUCACUCCCGUAAUCUCAGCACUUUGGGAGGCCGAGG